rnacentral:rRNA from 1 species
AGAGCGAACGCUGGCGGCAGGCUUAACACAUGCAAGUCGAACGGAUCCUUCGGGAUUAGUGGCGGACGGGUGAGUAACACGUGGGAACGUGCCUUUGGUUCGGAACAACUCAGGGAAACUUGAGCUAAUACCGGAUGUGCCCUUCGGGGGAAAGAUUUAUCGCCAUUAGAGCGGCCCGCGUCUGAUUAGCUAGUUGGUGAGGUAAUGGCUCACCAAGGCUACGAUCGGUAGCUGGUCUGAGAGGAUGACCAGCAUCACUGGGACUGAGACACGGCCCAGACUCCUACGGGAGGCAGCAGUGGGGAAUAUUGGACAAUGGGCGCAAGCCUGAUCCAGCCAUGCCGCGUGGAUGAUGAAGGCCUUAGGGUUGUAAAGUCCUUUUAACGGGGAAGAUAAUGACGGUACCCGUAGAAUAAGCCCCGGCUAACUUCGUGCCAGCAGCCGC